rnacentral:rRNA from 1 species
UCUACGGGAGGCAGCAGUGAGGAAUAUUGGACAAUGGACGAAAGUCUGAUCCAGCUAUGCCGCGUGCAGGAUGACAGCCCUACGGGUUGUAAACUGCUUUUAUACAGGAAGAAAAAUCCCGACGUGUCGGGGCUUGACGGUACUGUAAGAAUAAGGAUCGGCUAACUCCGUGCCAGCAGCCGCGGUAAUACGGAGGAUCCAAGCGUUAUCCGGAAUUAUUGGGUUUAAAGGGUCCGCAGGCGGUUUUUUAAGUCAGAGGUGAAAUCCUACAGCUCAACUGUAGAAUUGCCUUUGAAACUGAAAGACUUGAGUUAUUGUGAAGUGGUUAGAAUGUGUGGUGUAGCGGUGAAAUGCAUAGAUAUCACACAGAAUACCAAUUGCGAAGGCAGAUCACUAACAAUUAACUGACGCUCAGGGACGAAAGCGUGGGUAGCGAACAGGAUUAGAUACCCUGGUAGUCCACGCCGUAAACGAUGGAUACUAGCUGUAUGUCUACCUCAGGUAGAUGUGUGGCCAAGCGAAAGUGAUAAGUAUCCCACCUGGGGAGUACGAUCGCAAGAUUGAAACUCAAAGGAAUUGACGGGGGCCCGCACAAGCGGUGGAGCAUGUGGUUUAAUUCGAUGAUACGCGAGGAACCUUACCAGGGCUUAAAUGUAACGGGACAGGUCUAGAGAUAGACCCUUCUUCGGACUCAUUACAAGGUGCUGCAUGGUUGUCGUCAGCUCGUGCCGUGAGGUGUCAGGUUAAGUCCUAUAACGAGCGCAACCCCCAUCGUUAGUUGCCAACGAGUAAUGUCGGGAACUCUAACGAAACUGCCGGUGCAAACCGUGAGGAAGGUGGGGAUGACGUCAAAUCAUCACGGCCCUUACGUCCUGGGCUACAC